GCCUGACUGUUCCAGAGGUCAUGCUGGCAGCAGACAUAAACCCAGUGGCAUGAAACCAUGUCCUCAUGACAAACAUCUCACUGUUGCUUCCGAGGAUGAAGCUACCCCAGAAGAGUCAUGUGCAGGCCAGGAAGGAGACUGAUGGUCAGGGAAUCACCCUAUGGUUGGGGCAUGAUCUUGGCAUGAUCCAAGAGCUCACAACUUACUGAUAGGACAGCUUUCUCAACAGAGGCAUUCGCCCGCAAGCCAAAGUUAGGAGAAGUGAUGGCCAGAGGAAGCUGACAGAGGAAGUCCACCAGGACACACCAAACACUCAUCUCUGUUGUGGUAAACGAUGACUUUAAUUUACAAGGCAGAUGAAUACUAAAUCUUCAUGAAAUUAAAAACUAUAUUAUUUAUGUGAGCGGAAACGGAAAAUGUUCUGUAGCUAGCAGCAAUCCUGCUUUGUAGGAGGGACACUAAAAUAAUUAAAACCACUCGUGCUUCAGUAAUAAAUAAUGAUAAUAAAUAAAUGUCCUGACCUUAAGCGAAAAUAUAAAAUUAAAACCCA